rnacentral:tRNA from 2 species
CGGGGCGUGGCUCAGCCUGGUAGAGCGCCAGCUUUGGGAGCUGGAUGUCGUGAGUUCAAAUCUCACCGCCCCGACCA